rnacentral:rRNA from 1 species
GACGAACGCUGGCGGCGUGCUUAACACAUGCAAGUCGAACGGAAAGGCCCUGCUUUUGUGGGGUGCUCGAGUGGCGAACGGGUGAGUAACACGUGAGUAACCUGCCCUUGACUUUGGGAUAACUUCAGGAAACUGGGGAUAAUACCGGAUAGGAGCUCCUGCUGCAUGGUGGGGGUUGGAAAGUUUCGGCGGUUGGGGAUGGACUCGCGGCUUAUCAGCUUGUUGGUGGGGUAGUGGCUUACCAAGGCUUUGACGGGUAGCCGGCCUGAGAGGGUGACCGGCGACAUUGGGACUGAGGUACGGCCCAGACUCCUACGGGAGGCAGCAGUGGGGAAUAUUACACAGUGGGCGGGAGCCUGAUGCAGCAACGCCGCGUGCGGGAUGACGGCCUUCGGGUUGUAAACCGCUUUCGCCUGUGACGAAGCGUGAGUGACGGUAAUGGGUAAAGAAGCACCGGCUAACUACGUG